CACGUAGGCGGAUAUUUAAGUCAGGGGUGAAAUCCCAGAGCUCAACUCUGGAACUGCCUUUGAUACUGGGUAUCUUGAGUAUGGAAGAGGUAAGUGGACUUCCGAGUGUAGAGGUGAAAUUCGUAGAUAUUCGGAGGAACACCAGUGGCGAAGGCGGCUUACUGGUCCAUUACUGACGCUGAGGUGCGAAAGCGUGGGGAGCAAACA
rnacentral:rRNA from 1 species